rnacentral:rRNA from 1 species
ACCCAGACUCCUACGGGAGGCAGCAGUGAGGAAUAUUGGUCAAUGGGCGGGAGCCUGAACCAGCCAAGUCGCGUGAGGGAAGACGGUCCUACGGAUUGUAAACCUCUUUUGCCGGGGAGCAACGGGGUCCUUGCGAGGGCCCGAUGAGAGUACCUGAAGAAAAAGCAUCGGCUAACUCCGUGCCAGCAGCCGCGGUAAUACGGAGGAUGCGAGCGUUAUCCGGAUUUAUUGGGUUUAAAGGGUGCGUAGGCGGGUUAUCAAGUCAGCGGUAAAAUCGUGGAGCUCAACUCCAUCCAGCCGUUGAAACUGAUGAUCUUGAGUGGGCGAGAAGUAAGCGGAAUGCGUGGUGUAGCGGUGAAAUGCAUAGAUAUCACGCAGAACGCCGAUUGCGAAGGCAGCUUACCGGCGCUCAACUGACGCUGAGGCACGAAAGUGCGGGUAUCGAACAGGAUUAGAUACCCGCGUA